GGGGGCAAGCGUUGUCCGGAUUUACUGGGCGUAAAGCGCGUGUAGGCGGCCACGCAGGUCCGUUGUGAAAACUGAAGGCUUAACCUUCAGACGUCGACGGAAACCGUGUGGCUAGAGUCCGGAAGGGGAGAGUGGAAUUCCUGGUGUAGCGGUGAAAUGCGCAGAUAUCAGGAAGAACACCAAUGGCGAAGGCAGCUCUCUGGGACGGUACUGACGCUGAGACGCGAAAGCGUGGGGAGCGAACAGG
rnacentral:rRNA from 1 species